rnacentral:tRNA from 1 species
GCGCCUGUAGCUCAGGUGGAUAGAGCAUCUGCCUUCUAAGCAGAGGGUCGCACGUUCGAGUCGUGCCGGGCGCG